rfam:Peptoniphilus sp. oral taxon 375 str. F0436 noncontiguous_finished_chromosome, whole genome shotgun sequence.
CGCGGGAUGGAGCAGUCUGGUAGCUCGUCGGGCUCAUAACCCGAAGGUCGAAGGUUCAAAUCCUUCUCCCGCUA